UACGUAGGGGGCGAGCGUUAUCCGGAAUUACUGGGCGUAAAGCGCACGCAGGCGGUUCGCCAAGUUUGGAGUGACAGUUGUCGGCUCAACCGACAAAGGACUUCAAAAACUGGUGAACUUGAGGACGAGAGAGAAACAUGGAACUCCAGGUGUAGUAGUGAAAUGCGUAGAUAUCUGGAAGAACACCAAUGGCGAAGGCAAUGUUCUGGCUCGUUUCUGACGCUCAGGUGCGAAAGCCAGGGGAGCGAACGGG
rnacentral:rRNA from 1 species